rnacentral:rRNA from 1 species
UACGUAGGGCGCAAGCGUUAUCCGGAAUUAUUGGGCGUAAAGCGCUCGUAGGCGGUUUGUCGCGUCUGCUGUGAAAGUCCGGGGCUCAACUCCGGAUCUGCGGUGGGUACGGGCAGACUAGAGUGAUGUAGGGGAGACUGGAAUUCCUGGUGUAGCGGUGAAAUGCGCAGAUAUCAGGAGGAACACCGAUGGCGAAGGCAGGUCUCUGGGCAUUAACUGACGCUGAGGAGCGAAAGCAUGGGGAGCGAACAGG